rnacentral:lncRNA from 1 species
UUUUUAUAGCUAAAAAGCUAAAUAAAUUCAUACAUACUGUAAUACAGAUAACCAAAGCAUAAGAUUUAAUUUACAGUGACAUGUGGGCUUACGAACGACCAAAAGUAUCAAAAGCGGUAAACCUACAGUUUUUGAGGAUGCAAGUCCAACUGUAGUCCUCAACAAAGUGAGCUAUCUACCAACUAUUCUGAGCCUAAAAUGGGUGGAAGGAGGGUGGUGAGAUUAUAUAAUCCCAGUGAGUAAACAAAUAUCAUCUAAAAUAUCUAAAGCCGAGUAAAUGGAGACAGAUAAAAAUAGAUUAUCAUACUGUAAUUCAUCACCUUUCAACUCAUUUCAACCAAAUAAAAUCAAUUCAUAUAAAUCGAGUAUUCAACAUGGCUUAUGAAUUUCUUAAAACUUUGGCUCGUGCAAAAAUCAUUCACAUACUCAGUUAUCAAGGAUACCUUAGCUUGAGGCUAUCCCAACUGAGUCCGCCAAUGCUGUUAAAAAGUCAUGUACGCAUAAAUCAUGUUUUUAUUUUGAAAACAUAGUCGUUCCUUGGCGUUGGCUGAGUUCACCCUCACGUGGUGGUUUGGCGUGAAGUGAACUCUAAAGUUGUACCUCGGGAGUUAUCUUAUACUCCUCUCCGACCGAGGUAAGAAUAUAACAAGGUUACGGUGCCCCUCUAAUAGGUUGGUCCACAGAACCCGCCCACUGCAGCAAGCUAAACCCACCAAUUCAAUAAAUCUCAACCGCAUGACAUGACAAUUAUAUCACAAUCCAGCCUCUCAAGGCUAAAUACAUAGUUCAUAUAUUUCAACACAAAUACCAAUUCAGCCAUUCAUGCAAUUAUUGUCAUAAGCCAUUCGAUUCAAACCAUGAAUUUACAACAUAUGAAAACAGUCUCCAAUUACUCUAUUUUCAAACCAUCAUUCAAUUUCAAGACAAUAUUAUAAAAUCAUUUCAUUAAAUCACAUUUUAAUUACAAAACACAAAGAUUUACCAUUUAACUCAUUUUCCAUAAAAUUACAAAAUCGGAUAAAAACCACUUUAGAUAAUUAAGAUGAUAGUAAGGUUAAUCACUAUUUCGGGAGUCGAAUUCCAAGUACUCCGAUUCUUGAUCCUCAAGUACUAUCUCUUUACUUUUGCCAAAAAGCUCACCACCUAGACAUAAUGCACAAUAAGCCAUUUACUACAUUUGUGCUAAUUGUUAUAAAACCAAUUCAGGCUCUAUACUAAUGCAUGAAAUGGAAUGCAAAUUGUUCAGAUUAUCGUCUAAACACGGUGUUCUACACAAAUUCAAUUGUGUACCUAAAUAAAAUGGUAUUGGCCUAAUUCGAUCUAUCACCCAAUUAAUUGGCCAAUACGUCCAAUUCAACUCCAAAUAAUUCCAUUUUUCUCCCAAUACUCUAAAUCAUCAAACACAAAUUAAAUAACUUGAAAUAUGACAGAAUCAUCCUCACAUUUUCUCUUGAAAAAUUCGACCAUGGUGGGUGCAUCAACACUAUAAUUUUUCAAGCUUGAUUCUCACACCAUAAAUCACUAAUUCCUAACCAAAUCACUUGAAAUAAAAUCAAAAUCAUCAUCAAUAUUCCACAUGGAGAAUUCGGCCAAUGAUGGGUGAUGGAAGAACAUGAAUUUUUCUUGCUUGAUUUUCAUGUUACACAUCACCAAUCAACUAAAAACACUAAAAUACAUUAAAAUCUAACCAAAACAAUCAUCAAAAUCUCUCUCUAAGUGUUUGGCCAGCAAGAGACCCAUCAUAAAAUCAUGUGAUUCAACCAUGGAAAAUGCAAAAGAAUGUAUAGGAAAGGUAGAUUACAAGUCAAAAUCAAGAAAUUUUACCUUUGAUUGCUUGAUUAUUUGAAAUCCACCAAUUUUCUCUUGAAUUUUCACCCUAGGGUUCUUGUUCUUUCUUUUCUUCCUAUGUUCUUGCUUUGGCCGGCCAUAAUGAAGAGAAAUGGGCUGAUUUUGUGCUAAUUUAAAAGGAAAAUAAUAAAGAAAUAAAGCUUGAC